rnacentral:rRNA from 1 species
UACGCAGGCGGAAAAUUAAGUCAGUAGUGAAAUCCUGCAGCUUAACUGUAGAACUGUUAUUGAUACUGGUUUUCUUGAAUUUAGUUGAGGUAGGCGGAAUGUGUAAUGUAGCGGUGAAAUGCUUAGAUAUUACACAGAACACCGAUUGCGAAGGCAGCUUACUAAGCUAUGAUUGACGCUGAGGUACGAAAGCGUGGGGAGCGAACAGGAUUAGAUACCCUGGUAGUCC